rnacentral:lncRNA from 1 species
GGCGUACUCUAAAUUUCAGGUGAAGGGUAUCCUUUUUGCGGAUUUUCUGACUCUCUUGGACGAUUUAGCGGAAACCAAAGAAUUGUCAGUGGAAGAUGUUAAGUUACAACUUCAGUCAUGUGGAUUACCAGGUGCAUCCAAAACUGCAAAAGCCGGACAAUAAAUGUGAGUACCCACAUCGAACGGAGUAAAAUAUUUUGAAGGAUAUUAAAAAUAUUUUUAAUAGUG